UACGAAGGGGGGCUGGCGUUGCUCGGAAUGACUGGGCGUAAAGGGCGCGUAGGCGGAUUGCACAGUCAGGCGUGAAAUUCCCGGGCUCAACCUGGGGGCUGCGCUUGAGACGUGCGAUCUUGAGUGGGGAAGAGGGUCGUGGAAUUCCCAGUGUAGAGGUGAAAUUCGUAGAUAUUGGGAAGAACACCGGUGGCGAAGGCGGCGACCUGGUCCUUGACUGACGCUGAGGCGCGAAAGCGUGGGGGGCAAACAGG
rnacentral:rRNA from 1 species